CCUGGCUCAGAUCGAACGCUGGUGGCAUGCUUUACACAUGCAAGUCGGACGGCAGCGGGGUAGUGCUUGCAUUACUGCCGGUGAGUGGCGAACGGGUGAGUAAUAUAUUGGAACGCACCGAGCAGUGGGGGAUAACCAAUCGAAAGAUUGGCUAAUACCGCAUACGCUCUGAGGAGGAAAGCAGGGGACCUUCGGGCCUUGCAUUAUUCGAGCGGCCAAUAUCUGAUUAGCUAGUUGGUGGGGUAAAGGCCUACCAAGGCGACGAUCAGUAGCGGGUCUGAGAGGAUGAUCCGCCACACUGGGACUGAGACACGGCCCAGACUCCUACGG
rnacentral:rRNA from 1 species